UGCAGCUUUAGAUCAGCUGUUUCAGUUGAAUCUGCGUAUAGCUCCGUAAAUCCGCUAUUACCUGCUGUGUUAUCUCAAUUUUUGCGGAUAACGGUGGAAACCCUAGCGCAUAAUACGUUACAGCCUCUACUUUUAACCACGAAACACCCCUUUCCUGAGGGAAAGAACGCCUUGCUGAUCGGAUCCUGUAUCCCCUGUCGGAUCCCCUUACAAAAAAGCACACAGGGAAUUGGGAUAUAUUGCCCUACACGAUCGUCACCUCUGCUCGCCCCCGUAAAAAAGGGGUUUGGACAGGGAGGAGGAGAUUGUAGCUUUUUUAUUUUUUAUUAUUUUGUUUACUGUUUGGGGGGGGUCUUUGGAAAGAUGGGGAUACUGCACGUUUUUCGAUACAAAGAGGCUCUCUCUAAUAAGGGGUGAGUGGGUGGGACUCUUGUGGGACGUAUCAUACCAGUCGGGGGUUCAAGGGGUGUUCUCUGGGACGAAAAACGCACACCCCGGUACUCUUUUUACCGUUUUGGGUCCAUUGCGGGCCUGGGAUGGGGGUUCGGGGAUAGCGCGAAUGUAGCCCGCCCACCUCUCUCCCGUCUGACUAUACACGAAAGUACAAGAGAGGUCCCGAUGAAUGGAAAACACUUCACGUUCACAAUGGGUUUCGGCCUCAUCAGCUAGAUGGCUGGGUAUUGGCCAGCCAUGGCGAUAACGGGUGCAGAGGAUUUAGGUUCGAUCCUGGAGAGGUGGCCUGAGAAACAGC
rnacentral:rRNA from 1 species